UAAUAAGUGUUUUAUGGCACUUUUUAAAUCCAUAUCCACCUUGUGUGCAAUGUCAGUCGAUCUUCUUCAUGGAGAUCGACCAAACAUCAACCUUUAUCUUUUAACUCUUUGUCUGAAAAAAUAUUAUGAAUAAACAAUUCAAAAUAC
rnacentral:misc_RNA from 1 species